rnacentral:rRNA from 1 species
UACGUAGGGGGCAAGCGUUAUCCGGAAUUACUGGGUGUAAAGGGAGAGUAGGCGGCAUGGUAAGUUAGAUGUGAAAGCCCGAGGCUUAACCUCGGGAUUGCAUUUAAAACUAUCAAGCUAGAGUACAGGAGAGGUAAGUGGAAUUCCUAGUGUAGCGGUGAAAUGCGUAGAUAUUAGGAAGAACACCAGUGGCGAAGGCGACUUACUGGACUGAAACUGACGCUGAGGCUCGAAAGCGUGGGGAGCGAAC